GCUCUGAUACCAAUUUGUCACGACCCGAUUUAUCAAGUCAUGAUGGCACCUACUAUAACCCACCAGUAGGUAAGCCAACCCGUAACCCGGAACAACAAGUAAUGGGUCUGAGGGUAGAAACUAAACAAGAGUAGGAAAUUAACAAUAUAAACAGGCGGAAUCAAACCAAAAACAUAUAUACAAAUAAAGAUCCCUCCCAGAACCUGGAAGUCACCAGUACAGAGCUACUACAAAAUGAGUACAAGUCCCAAAACUGGACAACAACAACUGGACUGUCUCGAAAGGAAAAAGACAAGUCUAUAUAUACAGAUGGAGACUGAAAUAGUACAAAACGCCAUGUGCUCACCCCCGUCUCCGGAUAAGUCUACUCCAAGCUCGAUCAACGCUGGCUACUAGUUCUCGGACCUGCAUCACAAAAUAGAUACAGAGCGUAGCAUGAGUACCGACUGUAGCUAAAACCAGAUCACAGGUAAGCUGGACCACGGACUCUAACCGGGUACUGUAGCUAAAACCAGAUCACAGGUAAGCUGGACCACGGACUCUAACCGGGUACUGUAGCUAAAACCAGAUCACAGGUAAGCUGGACCACGGACUCUAACCGGGUACUGUAGCUAAAACCAGAUCACAGGUAAGCUGGACCACGGACUCUAACCGGGUACUGUAGCUAAAACCAGAUCACAGGUAAGCUGGACCACGGACUCUAACCGGGUACUGUAGCUAAAACCAGAUCACAGGUAAGCUGGACCACGGACUCUAACCGGGUACUGUAGCUAAAACCAGAUCACAGGUAAGCUGGACCACGGACUCUAACCGGGUACUGUAGCUAAAACCAGAUCACAGGUAAGCUGGACCACGGACUCUAACCGGGUACUGUAGCUAAAACCAGAUCACAGGUAAGCUGGACCACGGACUCUAACCGGGUACUGUAGCUAAAACCAGAUCACAGGUAAGCUGGACCACGGACUCUAACCGGGUACUGUAGCUAAAACCAGAUCACAGGUAAGCUGGACCACGGACUCUAACCGGGUACUGUAGCUAAAACCAGAUCACAGGUAAGCUGGACCACGGACUCUAACCGGGUACUGUAGCUAAGCCUGGACAUAAGUAAGCUGGACCACGGACUCUAACCGGGUACUGUAGCUAAGAAUCAAUAUCCAACCAUACGUCGCGGGAAAUAUCACCAAACUGAUAACCUCAAAUAAUCAUUUUAGUCCGACCCUCAUAUACCCCAAAUCGCCGAGGAAGUAUCCAAUAGUCAGUAAGCUAGACCACGGACUUUAACCGGGUACUAUAACCGAUAAAAAACAGGGCAUUAUAGAUACAAGGUCAUAAGUUGAGUUACCGCCUAGCUAAGGCUCAAUCUAUCAGACUCAAGUCUGCUAUAUCAGUCUACAAGGAGCUGACCGUCCGAAACGACGUCGGAAGAAGUUCUACUGCUCAACGACAUCCGAAAUCUCGCAAGUCUAUGGCAACACUAGUCUAAGCCUAGACUAAGGCCAAACAUACUUUAAAUCAAUAUUAUCAUAUACACCACAAGUUAUGGAUAUUCAAUAAUAUCAAGAGACAUGCUGUCAUAAUCCAACACUUUCCCGAAAUAAGGUCUAAGGCAGAAAUUAUUGAAAUUUAGCAUGCUCGACACCCGACCCACGCCAUACUCAAGCAAAUCAAUAAACAAAUGCCUAAACAUGCUCAAUCUCACGAGAGAAAGCCAUAGCCUACCUGAAAGCCGAUCACGCGUGCUCCAACUCACGGUACCGGAUCUUUUCCCCUCCGAACGGUCUCCAAAUGCUUCCCCACUAACAACAGGUUAAUCACCUCGUCAUUACUAAUAUAUUGACACUAAAAUUAUAGUUUUCGGAGACGGACCCAAAAUCGGGUCUAAAAUAGGAUUGUGGAGCCCACAAUUGGAAUCUCGAAAACGAAUCCGUGGAAACGUCCCAAAUACCUUACUAAACUAAUACCCCAAAAUUUAGCACAACCAGAUGCCUAAAACAUAGCAAAUCAGCCACAACAAUUAAAAUGGGCAGUCCCUUGAUCACCAAAUUCUGGGAAAACGAGACCCUUUCAACCCAAACAGAUUUUACCACGACGAUUCUUGCGAAAAACUCUACAAGUUAGCCACAAGAAUGACUCAAAACGGACCUAAGAUGAUCAAGAUCUCACAUUUCAAAAUUCAACAACAAUUCAAUCCGGCAAUCACCCUGUCAGUGGCUAAAAUCGAUUCCUUACCUCAAACGAAGCCUCCCCUCGCGUUUCUGAGAUCACCGCUAGAUUCCCCACGAAAUUCUCUUGAAGUUAGCCUUUUGAAGGACCUAAUUUGGACUCAAAAUGAAGGAGAAAUCUUAUGUUGAAGUUGAGGGAAAAAAUGGACGAAAAUCGUCCUAAAAUCUGGAAAUUUCCAGAUUUCCCUCCGCAGCCACGUGGCGUCGCGUGGCUCUGCCACGUCACCGCCGCGUCAAAAUUCUACAACCCUUCAAACUUAAAUUUCGAUGUUUCGGACUCGUUCGGAGUCGGAAAAAAUACAAACCAUAUAUGGAAUCUGAUUGGAAACGAUAUUUCGGACUCAACGGUGAAGGCGGAAUUUCCAUUUGAAGAUUGCUUCAAUGAAAAGUGGGUCCCACACCUAGUAUCAUUCGAAACUAAACUAGUUGUCAGAAUUUUCAUCUGAGCACGACUUCCAAUAAGGUUGACCAAAGUCAACUUUUCAAGUUNNNNNNNNNNNNNNNNNNNNNNNNNNNNNNNNNNNNNNNNNNNNNNNNNNNNNNNNNNNNNNNNNNNNNNNNNNNNNNNNNNNNNNNNNNNNNNNNNNNNUACGCCACCACUGCCUGGCGGGACCGUCUAACUGGUAUGCGGUGAAGUCUGGUCCUCUCAACUCCACUAAACCCAAAGUCUGUAGCCGCUCUUGGCAAGUAAUUAGAAACUCGUGGGCAUCAUCCCCCACUGCCCUAGAAAACCUCGGCGGUGAUAGUCUAAGGAACACCCCGAGCAUCUUCUGCUCCCAUAGUGGCAUGACUCCCUCCAAAUCGUCUGGCUGAACAACCGGUGCCGCUAGCUGCUGAACAACCGGUACCGCUGGUGUAGGCUGGCCCUGCGGUACUGGAACGGCUGGAGCUGGUGCCUGCUGCAUGCCACCAAUGACAGCUAGUAUUUGUACGAGCAUCGCCUGUAUAUCUGGAGCUGCCACAGGCUCGGGUGGUAGCUGGGCUGGUCCCAGGCCCAUCGGCUGCUGCUGUGUUGGAGCUGCUGGUGCUGGAACUCUGGCACGACCUCGAGGUCGGCCUCUACCCCUAGCUGGGGAUAUACCACGCGUGCGAGCCAUCCCUAAAAAAAAGAGUGGUACAAGUAAGAUUUUCAGAAACCGAUAAGACACACAAUGCACGACAGUGAUACAAAAGCGACACGUUCCUAAAGACAUCCUGUAGCCUCCCGAAGAUAAGUAACGGACGUCUCCGUACCGAUCUGCAGGACUCUACUAGACAUUAGCUCUGUACAAGUGAGACCGACGAACCUGGGGCUCUGAUACCAAUUUGUCACGACCCGAUUUAUCGAGUCAUGAUGGCACCUACUAUAACCCACCAGCAGGUAAGCCAACCCGUAACCCGGAACAACAAGUAAUGGGUCUGAGGGUAGAAAUUAAACAGGAGUAGGCAAAUAACAAUAUAAACAGACGGAAGCAAACCAAAAACAUAUAAACAAAUAAAGAUCCCUCCCAGAACCUGGAAGUCACUAGUACAGAGCUACUAACAAAAUGAGUACAAGUCCCAAAAGAAGUAACGGGUCUGAGGGUAGAAAUUAAACAAGAGUAGGCAAUUAACAAUAUAAACAGGCGGACGCCAACCAAAAACAUAUAUACAAAUAAAGAUCCCUCCCAGAACCUGGAAGUCACUAGUACAGAGCUACUACAAAAUGAGUACAAGUCCUAAAACCGGACAACAGAGACUGGACUGUCUCGAAAGGAAUAAGACAAGUCUAUAUAUACAGAUGGAGACUGAAAUAGUACAAAACGCCGUGUGCUCACCCCCGUCUCCGGAUAAGUCUACUCCAGGCUAGAUCAACGCUGGCUACUAGUGCUCGGACCUGCAUCACAAAAUAGAUGCAGAGCGUAGCAUGAGUACCAAAACAACAGGUACCCAGUAGGCAUCAUCGGCCGACUGAGCAAGAUAAGCAAAAGUGAACUGAAAUGCGAAUAAAGGGUCACAUCAAGUGCAAAGAGUAGUAAAUAGGGGGUAUGUACACGAGCGUACAGGCAACAAAGACAAGCAAUCUAACUAACUCCGCCGGGCUCCCAUAAACCCGACGGGUACGCUCGUGCACAAUAAAAGAAACCACCUGCACGGACCCCCAUAAGCCCGGCAGAUGGACCGGCAGUUGAAGUAAAAUAAUGGAGCUAGAAUGUCUAUCACAAUAUUACCAAUUUCCGGACUUUUAACUGAACCAUUCCCAAUUAUAUUCUAAGAUCUCAUUACGUCCCGGACUUUAACCGGAAUCUCUUCAACCUCCAAAACCUCAACCUACAGAUGAGAGUAAUCAAGACUAAACUGAAGCUUUAGUGAGGAAUCGGGAGUACAGCACGUGCAAGCUGGACCACGGACUCGAACCGGGUGCUGUAGCCAAAGGUCGGGCACGGGUGGGCUGGACCGCGGACUCGAACCGGGUACUGUAGCCAAAACCAGAUCACAGGUAAGCUGGACCACGGACUCUAACCGGGUACUGUAGCUAAAACCAGAUCACAGGUAAGCUGGACCACGGACUCUAACCGGGUACUGUAGCUAAAACCAGAUCACAGGUAAGCUGGACCACGGACUCUAACCGGGUACUGUAGCUAAAACCAGAUCACAGGUAAGCUGGACCACGGACUCUAACCGGGUACUGUAGCUAAAACCAGAUCACAGGUAAGCUGGACCACGGACUCUAACCGGGUACUGUAGCUAAAACCAGAUCACAGGUAAGCUGGACCACGGACUCUAACCGGGUACUGUAGCCAAAACCAGAUCACAGGUAAGCUGGACCACGGACUCUAACCGGGUACUGUAGCUAAAACCAGAUCACAGGUAAGCUGGACCACGGACUCUAACCGGGUACUGUAGCUAAAACCAGAUCACAGGUAAGCUGGACCACGGACUCUAACCGGGUACUGUAGCUAAAACCAGAUCACAGGUAAGCUGGACCACGGACUCUAACCGGGUACUGUAGCUAAAACCAGAUCACAGGUAAGCUGGACCACGGACUCUAACCGGGUACUGUAGCUAAAACCAGAUCACAGGUAAGCUGGACCACGGACUCUAACCGGGUACUGUAGCUAAAACCAGAUCACAGGUAAGCUGGACCACGGACUCUAACCGGGUACUGUAGCUAAAACCAGAUCACAGGUAAGCUGGACCACGGACUCUAACCGGGUACUGUAGCUAAAACCAGAUCACAGGUAAGCUGGACCACGGACUCUAACCGGGUACUGUAGCUAAGAAUCAAUAUCCAACCAUACGUCGCGGGAAAUAUCACCAAACCGAUUACCAUAAAUAAUCAUUUCAGUCCGACCCUCAUAUACCCCAAAUCGCCGAGGAAGUAUCCAAUAGUGAGUAAGCUAGACCACGGACUUUAACCGGGUACUAUAGCUGAUAAAACACAGGGCAUUAUGGAUACAAGGUCAUAAGUUGAGUUACCGCCUAGCUAAGGCUCAGUCUAUCAGACUCAAGUCUGCUAUAUCAGUCUACAAGGAGCUGACCGUCCGAAACGACGUCGGAAGAAGUUCUACUGCUCAACGACAUCCGAAAUCUCGCAAGUCUAUGGCAACACUAGUCUAAGCCUAGACUAAGGCCAAACAUACUUCAAAUCUUUAUUAUCAUAUACACCACAAGGUAUGAAUAUUCAAUAAUAUCAAGAGACAUGCUGUCAAUAAUCCAAACACUUUCCCGAAAAUAAUGUCUAAGGCAGGAAAUAUAGAAAUUUAGCAUGCUUGACACCCGAACCCCUCCAUACUCAAGCAAAUCAAUAAACAAAUGCCUAAACAUGCUCAAUCUCAUGAGAGAAAGCCAUAGCCUACCUGAAAGCCGAUCACGCGUGCUCCAACUCACGGUACCGGAUCUUUUCCCCUCCGAACGGUCUCCAAAUGCUUCCCCAGUAACAACAGGUUAAUCACCUCGUCAUUACGAAUAUAUUGACACUAAAAUUAUAUUUUUCGGAGACGGACCCAAAAUCGGGUCUAAAACGGGAUUGUGGGGCCUACAAUUGGAAUCUCGAAAACGAAUCCGUGGAAACGUCCCAAAUACCUUACUAAACUAAUACCCC
rnacentral:lncRNA from 1 species